CAUGUUCUCUCACUCUCUCUCUCUCUCUCUCUCGUCGUCUUUGUCUGUAUGGUUAUUUCUCUGCUUUUUCAGAACACCACCACCUCAUUUUUUGUCUAUCCAGAUGUCGUUAUAAAUUUCGUUUUAUUCCCGAUCAAAACGAUUAAAGUCCAUACAGUGUCCGAUGAGAUUUCCUUGGUCAUAAUCUCCGGAAUUAUUAAGUGACGAAGUUUGCAGGUUUUAUAUGUCGAUCCUCAGUAACAGAUUUCCUGAAAUUGGUUUCCUUAAUCGUCUAUAGUGCACUUGCAUAUGUCUAUGUUCAGGUUUGCGACCUGAAUAUCAAUGAAGAAGUAUGUAGAAGUUUUGCCAGAUAAGAUAAGAAUCUAUUCCAGCCUUUCUUAUAAAUUGAAUCUGGCCAUUCUGCUUAAUAUAUGAUAAAACUUACUUUUAAAACUAUUUGUUGUGUAUGUUAAAUUCAAAGACAACAUUGGUAAUGUUCUUGCAUCAGAUACGGGACUUGUUUCUACACACAAAUUCACACCAGAUUAAGAGCUGUAUAUUGGCGCCAAUUAUGAAGGACUUUGACCUACAUUCUCCAUGUGGUCUUGUAUGGACGAAUGUCUCGGAGGAAAGCCUGCCAUUGUUUUAGAAAACACGGCGAAGGAAGUGAAGAAGUAAUAUAUUUUCCAUAUUUUCGGCCAACGAAGCUGGGUUUUGUUUUUUAAUUUUUUUAUUUAUAUUAAUUACAAUGGUAUUGUCUGUAAAUAAGUCUGAAUUCAAAGCUUUCUUCAGAAAAAUGAUGUGAAAAUAAUAAUAUAGAUUCAACCACUAUUUUGGAGAUGAA